rnacentral:rRNA from 1 species
GACGAACGCUGGCGGCGUGCCUAAUACAUGCAAGUAGAACGCUGAAGAGAGGAGCUUGCUCUUCUUGGAUGAGUUGCGAACGGGUGAGUAACGCGUAGGUAACCUGCCUUUUAGCGGGGGAUAACUAUUGGAAACGAUAGCUAAUACCGCAUAACAAUGGAUGACACAUGUCAUUUAUUUGAAAGGGGCAAUUGCUCCACUACAAGAUGGACCUGCGUUGUAUUAGCUAGUAGGUGAGGUAACGGCUCACCUAGGCGACGAUACAUAGCCGACCUGAGAGGGUGAUCGGCCAAACUGGGAAUGAGACACGGCCCAGAAGCCUACGGGAGGCAGCAGUAGGGAAUCUUCGGCAAUGGGGGCAAACCUGACCGAGCAAAGCCGCGUGAGUGAAGAAGGUUUUCGGAUCGUAAAGAUCUGUUGUAAGUCAAGAACGAGUGUGAGAGUGGAAAGUUCACACUGUGACGGUAGCUAACCAGAAAGGGACGGCUAACUACGUG